GCAGUAGUCAGUAUUUAAGUAAGACCUGUAGUCUCUCCUGUGGGCUUCUCAUAGUGUCCCAUGCUAGAGCAAACUGUGGCUCCUGACCAUCGCCUGCCCUCUGUGCCUGUAGGCUGCUGGCACUGAAGUGGGACACAGUGGA